GCGUUUCCUUGGAAGUCUGGGUGCAAAGCAGGAAUACAGCCUGGACGGGACACCGGGCUCUUGUGGGAAACUGAAGAGACACGUUUUCAGGAAGGUGAUUGCCAGGAUGUUCUUUCAAUGACUAUUGUGUAAUCCACGGUAUCAUCUUGAGAGGAACAAGCACUGAUAUACGAGAUUUUCAAAUGCAGUAUUUUUCAGCAAUCAAAAUAAAUGUAGCCAGUUGAAAUUUUACACUAAGCAAUUUGAGCUACAGGAGCUCGUCUGUUGGAUCGGACCACACGGG